AGAAGACCUACCUGUUAUUGAUCCUCAAUACCUAAGCCAAGAGGAUGAUAUAUACACCUCGCUGAAAGGUAUAAAAGCAGCCGUGAUAAUAGGGAAUUCAACUACUUUCAGACAGACUUUUGGGGCUAAGCUGUACAAUAAUUCAAUUCCAGGUUGUGAAGGGAGACCUUCGGGUCGGACGGGUACUGGGUAUGUUUACUUACGUCACAUGGCAAC